AUCAUGCCUUUGAAUCAAGUAGCUUAUAUGAAAAAACUAAUUUUUUCAUUCAUAAUCAUCAAAAACAUUCUUUUAAUAUUUUUCUUGGCCGAAUCAACACAAGGAUCGCAUGCAGAUAUUUCAUUAAUAAUAGUCUGGAGUUGUGCGCUAAUCCACGUAACUUAUUCUUGUAGUCUUAUAUUAUUCCAUGAAUUUCUUCAGCUUUUAUGUGUUAUGCGCUGAAGGGUGCAAUAUGGGCUGUACUUUUUUUGAAUCAAAUGGUGGAAAAACGAGCAAAAAGCUUCAUUUGUGCAAGAGGGUAAAAGAAUAGAUCGAAGUAACUAUGCAUAAGGUUAGAACCCAUCAAAGGGAGACUUAUGGAGUGAGCAAUGACAUUGAUGAGAACACCAAUUGACAAAGUUAAAGGUCCAAAUGUGUUUGAACGAGCUAAGGAGGAGAGCAAGGCCAUUAUGAAGGCUAUUAGUUCCAUGAAAAAAUUGCAUCAUGAUCCACCUACAACAAAGAGGGUAUUUUUUCCUCAAAUGUGAUUAAAUUGAAGUUGCAUUAAAUAAAUUUAAUGGGAUAUCAUUUGGAGAAGGUAGAAUAGCCAAAGGAUCUUGAGAGAGGGCGAUGUGGAGCUGUGCUCAGGAGGCAGAGGAUGUGGGAUGCGAGCGGCGCUCGCUGGGCAGAGUUUGGAGGGAGUGGGCGGCGUUUGGAGGGAGUGGAUAGGGAUUUGGAGUGGGGAGCUCCUCAGGACACAGGCAACACUCGCUCAGUAGAGGAUGCAUGAUGUCGCAGUGCUUGGGAGGAGUGGUUAGUGCUUUGCUCGGGAGAGAGGAUUCGAAUGUGGGUUUGGCAGACCAUUACAUGUUGCAAGAGAAGUUGUUUAUGCUGAGAAAUCUUUUUGAUUUGGGUGUGACAAAAGCAUGGUGGAUCUGUGUGAUGACAUCCUUGUUCUCAUCUUCUUGCUCUUGCCCAAGGAUUCCCUUAUUCGCCUUCAUGGCGUCUGCAAGCGGUGGCUCCGUUUGAUAACAAAGAACCCUCUGGUAAGUGACCACCUGACGUACAGAUUCUUAGCCCGCUCUGUCUUACGUUCACCCCCAUACUUUACAAAGAUUCUCUCAUUAUCAUUGUUAUCUGCGGAGUGGGUCAAUUCCCCGGAGCCAUCUGUACAUUUCAUGCCCUUCCAUAGCAGCAUCAAAAUGCAGCUUCAAUCAAUGAGCUCCUCUUCUGCACAAGGAAAGUGGAGGCAUCUGAGCCCAAAAGGCUCCAUGAUGAUUGCUAUCUCUGCAACCCCUGCAGCCAGGAGUGGCUUAUCAUCCCUAAACCAAGUCGGUGCCAUUUCGCUUUCAAUUUGCUGAGAAUAGGGAUGGCAUUCAAUCCUGCUGAAAACAUUUCAAGCGAAAGGGCCACCUACGAGAUUGCCAGUGCUCACAAAAUUGGUGAUUCUAAUGGAAAUAUGCAUGGCUUUGAGAUCUAUUGCUCCGAGACAGAAGAGUGGUGUGUCUCGCAGGAGAUCUGCUCUGAACCCUCUGGUCCCAAGGAACUCUACUUUAAAGUUAGCCAGAAUUGUGCUGUUUACCACUGCUCUAUGCUGCAUUGGCUUGACGACCAUGGUUACAUUCUUGCCUUUGAUCCUAUAGCCGAAGCCUCCUGAUGGAUAUGUUUGCCUCUAAACAUGAUGACAUCAUACCAUCGACUGAAUUCUGGUUGGUUGGCUGAGAGCUGCGGUAGGCUCUACUUUGUGACAACUACCUCUUCCUCUGUGUAUCUUGAUCUUGGCAAUAUGCUGACUGUCUGGAAGAUGAGAGACAACCCACAGGAUGAGUGGACUCCAACCCUAUAUAGCAUCGACUUGGAUGCACAGCUUGCUGCAGCCAGUCGGAAAUUACUUAGUCCUUUGGGCAUCCCCAUAUUCUUGCUUAGAACUGAACGGGAUAAGACUGUGUGCUAUAACCACAAAAGCAAGAAGCUGCAGAUGGAUCUUGAUGUUCAAGUGACUGACUCACUUUGUUUUAUCCACUAUUUUCCUUACAUUCCAACCACCAAGUCCCUCACCAAGUAGUUUUGGAAUAUCUCCUCCCUCCACAAUGGGAGAUGAGUUGGUGAGAAUGUAGUUGCUGCUAGAGUUUGUUCUGGCAGAGAACAAACAUAGUAAAUUAUAUCAGCCAUCUGGGCAAAUCUCAAGUGUCAUCUCAGAAGAACAAGCAAGAGGGAAAUUUCUAUGUAAGUCAUAUCUUAUUUCUGAUAUUUUAUAUCCAGGUGGAAGAUGAGGGAUACAGAUUGUAUCUAAUUUUGAUAACCGGACAUAAUAAAAAAAACUGUCAGUUAACUACCGUAUUUUUGUAAUUUUAAAUGCAUAUGUGAGCAGCUCGAUUAUCA